UGGACGGGUCGGUCGGUGGGCCGGCCACACACGCUGAGAAUCUUCCUCAUGAUGGACCUCGGAUCAGGUAGGGAUACCCGCUGAACUUAAGCAUAUCAAUAAGC
rnacentral:rRNA from 1 species